rnacentral:rRNA from 1 species
AGCGAACGCUGGCGGCAGGCCUAACACAUGCAAGUCGAACGAACCCUUCGGGGUUAGUGGCGGACGGGUGAGUAACACGUGGGAACGUGCCUUUAGGUUCGGAAUAACUCAAGGAAACUUGUGCUAAUACCGAAUGUGCCCUUCGGGGGCAAGAUUUAUCGCCUUCAGAGCAGCCCGCGUCUGAUUAGCUAGUUGGUGAGGUAAUGGCUCACCAAGGCUACGAUCAGUAGCUGGUCUGAGAGGAUGACCAGCCACAUUGGGACUGAGACACGGCCCAAACUCCUACGGGAGGCAGCAGUGGGGAAUCUUGCGCAAUGGGCGAAAGCCUGACGCAGCCAUGCCGCGUGGAUGAUGAAGGUCUUAGGAUUGUAAAAUCCUUUCACCGGUGAAGAUAAUGACUGUAGCCGGAGAAGAAGCCCCGGCUAACUUCGUGCCAGCCGCCGCCGUAACAC